GACGAACGCUGGCGGCGUGCUUAACACAUGCAAGUCGAACGGAAAGGCCCCUUUGGGGGUCCUCGAGUGGCGAACGGGUGAGUAACACGUGAGUAACCUGCCCUUGACUUCGGGAUAACUUCAGGAAACUGGGGCUAAUACCGGAUAGGAAUCCUUGCUGCAUGGUGGGGGUUGGAAAGCUUCGGCGGUUUUGGAUGGACUCGCGGCUUAUCAGCUUGUUGGUGGGGUAGUGGCUUACCAAGGCUUUGACGGGUAGCCGGCCUGAGAGGGCGACCGGCCACAUUGGGACUGAGAGACGGCCCAGACUCCUACGGGAGGCAGCAGGGGGGAAUAUUGCACAAUGGGCGGAAGCCUGAUGCAGCAACGCCGCGUGCGGGAUGACGGCCUUAGGGUUGUAAACCGCUUUCAGCAGGGGCGAAGCUUGUGGUGACGGUACCUGCAGAAGAAGCACCGGCUAACUACGUG
rnacentral:rRNA from 1 species